rnacentral:rRNA from 1 species
GCCAGACUCCUACGGGAGGCAGCAGUGGGGGAUAUUGUACAAUGGGGGGAACCCUGAUGCAGCGACGCCGCGUGGGUGAAGGAGUAUUUCGGUAUGUAAAGCCCUAUCGGCAGGGAAGAAGCAAGACGGUACCUGACUAAGAAGCCCCGGCUAACUACGUGCCAGCAGCCGCGGUAAUACGUAGGGGGCGAGCGUUAUCCGGAUUCACUGGGUGUAAAGGGAGCGUAGACGGCCAAGCAAGCCAGGGGUGAAAGCCCGGGGCCCAACCCCGGGACUGCCCUUGGAACUGCUUGGCUGGAGUGCGGGAGGGGCAGGCGGAAUUCCUGGUGUAGCGGUGAAAUGCGUAGAUAUCAGGAGGAACACCGGCGGCGAAGGCGGCCUGCUGGACCGCGACUGACGUUGAGGCUCGAAAGCGUGGGGAGCAAACAGGAUUAGAUACCCGAGUA